GUGAGGAAUAUUGGUCAAUGGACGAGAGUCUGAACCAGCCAAGUCGCGUGAAGGAAGACGGUUCUAUGAAUUGUAAACUUCUUUUGUGCAGGAAUAAAGUGGGUUACGUGUAACCUUUUGUAUGUACUGUACGAAUAAGGAUCGGCUAACUCCGUGCCAGCAGCCGCGGUAAUACGGAGGAUCCGAGCGUUAUCCGGAUUUAUUGGGUUUAAAGGGUGCGUAGGUGGAUUGAUAAGUCAGCGGUGAAAGUUUGCAGCUUAACUGUAAAAUUGCAGUUGAAACUGUCGGUCUUGAGUGCAAAUGAGGUAGGCGGAAUGUGUUGUGUAGCGGUGAAAUGCUUAGAUAUAACACAGAACUCCGAUUGCGAAGGCAGCUUACUGGGAUGCAACUGACACUGAUGCACGAAAGCGUGGGUAUCAAACAGGAUUAGAAACCCGGGUAGUCC
rnacentral:rRNA from 1 species